rnacentral:tRNA from 1 species
CUAUAGCUUAAUUACAAAGCAUAGCACUGAAGAUGCUAAGAUGGUACCCAUCUACCUAGGGGC